CGCUGGCGGCGUGCCUAAUACAUGCAAGUCGAGCGAAUGAUUAGAGAAGCUUGCUUCUCUCUGAUUAGCGGCGGACGGGUGAGUAACACGUGGGUAACCUACCCUAUAGACUGGGAUAACUUCGGGAAACCGGAGCUAAUACCGGAUAAUACUUUUUGAACUCAUGUUCGAAAGUUGAAAGAUGGUUUCGGCUAUCACUAUAGGAUGGACCCGCGGCGCAUUAGCUAGUUGGUGAGGUAACGGCUCACCAAGGCAACGAUGCGUAGCCGACCUGAGAGGGUGAUCGGCCACACUGGGACUGAGACACGGCCCAGACUCCUACGGGAGGCAGCAGUAGGGAAUCUUCCACAAUGGACGAAAGUCUGAUGGAGCAACGCCGCGUGAGUGAAGAAGGAUUUCGGUUCGUAAAACUCUGUUGCAAGGGAAGAACAAGUAGCGUAGUAACUGGCGCUACCUUGACGGUACCUUGUUAGAAAGCCACGGCUAACUACGUGCCAGCAGCCGC
rnacentral:rRNA from 1 species